AUGCAGGGAUGGUUUGAGAAGCUCCUAGCAUGUGCAGGGCGUGAAACACUACUUAAGUCAGUAGUACAGACAAUUCCCACGUACUUGAUGAGUACCUUUUUGCUCACCAAGAAAGUUUGUAAGAGCCUGACUUCUCCCAUGGCGAAAUUCUUCUGGAGUAGUUCUCUUGACAAGAAUGCUAUGCAUUGGAUAUCAUGGAAAAACCUUGCUACACCAAAGUGCAAAGGAGGUAUGGGUUUUCGAGAAUCUCAUCAGUUUAAUCUUGCACUAUUAGGGAAACAUGGAUGGAGGUUCUUAACGAACCCAGAUUCUCUAUGUGCGAGAGUAUUAAAAGACGUUACUUCCCUGAUACGGCAUGCAUGCAACUAUUCCCAAAUCUGCUUCUGCAACUUGGAGAGCUAUUAUAGCAAGCAGGGAAGCUUUGACUGCUGGUCUAAUAAAAAGAGUUGGUGA
rnacentral:rRNA from 1 species